UGCAGGUGAUGUGAAUAAUAUUUGCUAUCUGAACAGCUGUGCUGACAUUUCCACCAAGAUCACUGAUGCA
ensembl:snoRNA SNORD24 Small nucleolar RNA SNORD24